CCUACGGGUGGCAGCAGUGGGGAAUAUUGGACAAUGGGGGAAACCCUGAUGCAGCGACGCCGCGUGAGUGAAGAAGUAAUUCGGUAUGUAAAGCUCUAUCAGCAGGGAAGAAAAUGACGGUACCUGAGUAAGAAGCCCCGGCUAACUACGUGCCAGCAGCCGCGGUAAUACGUAGGGGGCAAGCGUUAUCCGGAUUUACUGGGUGUAAAGGGAGCGUAGACGGCAGUGCAAGUCUGGAGUGAAAGGCGGGGGCUCAACCCCAGGACUGCUUUGGAAACUGUACGGCUGGAGUGCAGGAGAGGUAAGCGGAAUUCCUAGUGUAGCGGUGAAAUGCGUAGAUAUUAGGAGGAACACCAGUGGCGAAGGCGGCUUACUGGACUGUAACUGACGUUGAGGCUCGAAAGCGUGGGGAGCAAACAGGAUUAGAUACCCGUGUAGUC
rnacentral:rRNA from 1 species